rnacentral:rRNA from 1 species
UUAAAUGGCCGCAGUAUUUUGACUGUGCUAAGGUAGCAUAAUCAUUAGUUUUUUAAUUGAAAGCUGGAAUGAAGGGUUGGAUGAAAAAAAAACUGUCUCUAAUUAAUUAUUAUAGAAUUUUAUUUUUAAGUUAAAAAGCUUAAAUAAAGUUAAAAGACGAGAAGACCCUAUAGAGUUUAAUAAUUUAAUUUAUUUUAUUAUUUAGUAUUAAUAUUUAAUAUAAAAAUAAUUAUUUAAUUGGGGUGAUUAAAAAAUUUAAUAAACUUUUUUUAUAUUUUUAUAUUUAUAUAUAAAUGUUUGAUCCAAUUUUAUUGAUUAUAAGAUUAAAUUACCUUAGGGAUAACAGCGUAAUUUUAUUAGAGAGUU